UGAGUGCGAGCGGCUACGGCCGCGAAGUGGGUGAUGUCAAGCUUCCAAGAAAAGGCCUAUACCCGUUAAGGCAUGAUGGCCUGUACCCGAAACCGACACAGGUGGGGUGGUAGAGAAUACCGAGGGGCGCGAGGUAACUCUCUCUAAGGAACUCGGCAAAAUGGCCCCGUAACUUCGGGAGAAGGGGUGCCACCGCAAGGUGGUCGCAGUGAAGAGGCCCAGGCGACUGUUUACCAAAAACACAGGUCUCCGCUAAGUCGCAAGACGAUGUAUGGGGGCUGACGCCUGCCCAGUGCCGGAAGGUUAAGGAAGCUGGUCAGCGCAAGCGAAGCUGGCGACUGAAGCCCCGGUGAACGGCGGCCGUAACAAUAACGGUCCUAAGGUAGCGAAAUUCCUUGUCGGGUAAGUUCCGACCCGCACGAGAGGCGUAACGAUCUGGGCGCUGUCUCGGAGAGAGGCUCGGCGAAAUAGAAUUGUCUGUGAAGAUGCGGACUACGUGCACCCGGACAGAAAGACCCUAUGAAGCUUUACUGUAGCUUGGUAUUGUGCCCGGGCUCUGAAUGCGCAGGAUAGGUGGGAGGCUUUGAUCCAUGGCUUGCGGGUCAUGGUGAGCCAACGGUGAGAUACCACUCUUUCAGAGCUAGGGUUCUAACGGUCACCCGUCAUCCGGGGACCGGACAGUAUCAGGUGGGCAGUUUGACUGGGGCGGUCGCCUCCUAAAAGGUAACGGAGGCGCGCAAAGGUUUGCUCAGGCUGGUUGGAAAUCAGCCGACGAGUGCAAAAGCAGAAGCAAGCUUGACUGUGAGACCUACAAGUCGAACAGAGACGAAAGUCGGCUUUAGUGAUCCGACGGUUCUGAGUGGAAGGGCCGUCGCUCAACGGAUAAAAGUUACUCUAGGAUAACAGCUGAUCUCCCCCAAGAGUUCACAUCGACGGGGAGGUUUGGCACCUCGAUGUCGGCUCAUCGCAACCUGGGGCUGAAGUCGGUCCCAAGGGUUGGGCUGUUCGCCCAUUAAAGCGGUACGCGAGCUGGGUUCAGAACGUCGUGAGACAGUUCGGUCCAUAUCCGGUGCACGCGCAGGAACAUUGAGAGGAUUUCUCCCUAGUACGAGAGGACCGGGAGGAACGCACCUCUGGUGUGCCAGUUAUCGUGCCAACGGUAUACGCUGGGUAGCCAUGUGCGGAGUGGAUAACCGCCGAAAGCAUCUAAGUGGGAAGCCCACCUCAAGAUGAGUGUUCCCAUGGCAUAAGCCAGUAAGGUCACGGGAAGAACACCCGUUGAUGGGCUCUACGUGGAAGCCGGGUAACCGGUGAAGCGGAGGAGUACUAAUAGACCGAGGGCUUGACC
rnacentral:rRNA from 1 species